CAUGAAGUUGGAUUCGCUAGUAAUCGCGCAUCAGCCAUGGCGCGGUGAAUACGUUCCCGGGCCUUGUACACACCGCCCGUCAAGCCAUGGGAGCCGGGGGUGCCUGAAGUUCGUGACCGCAAGGAGCGACCUAGGGCAAAACUGGUGACUGGGGCUAAGUCGUAACAAGGUAGC
rnacentral:rRNA from 1 species